GAUUUGUCCCCCCGAGAGCUUAAAAUGUCACUCUCUUGGCAAACACUGGGCAGAAGACCUCAGAAUGUCAGGUGAGUCACGCAGCGUGAGCAGUCAAAUGCCAGAGAGCAUGACGUCAGUGAAAAGCCCGGAACGGAAAGCGAGAUCACCAGUGACGCCAGAGGUACAGCCAGCGAGGGGCUUAUCCUCACCCCGCCAGGAGAGUGAGAGCACAGGAUGCAGCCUCCUCUGCUCCGCGCUUUCUCCUCCUCCGCCUGCUCACCUCCAGCGGCACGCCUCCCUGAGCUCCUUGCGCGUCUGCUCUGCCCAGGGACACUGUCCACUGCCCUGCCUCCCACUCAGCCAUCAUCCGCCCAGACAUCUGUGUGAGCUCUGGACUCCGCCACCCAGCUCUCUGCUGGACAGCUCCACCAUCAAGGCCCACAAACGCCCCGAGUCCAAGAAAGCCGAACCCGAAGCCAGGAUCUCUCCAGCCUGCUCCUCCUCCUGGACACUGGAAUGCAUGCUGGUGAAAAAGAAAUACAUUCGGACUGUUGCGUUUAUGGAAUUUGGGGGAAAGUCAAGCCACUGGGCUUCACCUCAAAUAGGCAUGCUCACCUCCGCAGAGGCAAUGCCUGUUGUCUACUGACCACACCACCAACAAGAUGCCUAGUUCUCGAUUAUUAAACCAGAAGUUGCAGGUGCAGAGAAGCCUUUCCACCCUUUUCGGCUCAUCUGAAGUCACUGAGUUGGCUCCCCAGCCAGUCGGAAUUGGCCAUCCUUUUGAAAAACCACAUCAGUUACCCAUUUGAAGCCAAUCCAUGUGGGCUUUCAAGGUAGGCCAACUGGCAGAGUGACAUUCCAUCAGUAUUCUGCCUGCUUCUCUCUGAGUUAAAUAUCCCUCAUCGGCCACGCGCCGAAUGAUGAAGACGUGCUUGGAGGGCACUGGACCUUAACAAAGGACACCCAGUGCAGCAUCAGCGAAUCUCUGAGCCCUUGUUUGAUAUUUUUCAAUUUGUUUCUGUCCUGGCUUUCAUCAGAACUCCGUUUCAGUGAGGGAAAGGCCAAAGAAGGAUCUUCUACCGCAAGGCCAGAUCCACCCUGGGGUUGAUUUGCUGGCAGACUUUUAUCUUAUGGCAACAUAAGAAUCUUCUGACUUUUAAGAAUCUAAUCUCUACUUCUUUCUGUCAUGAAAAUAUGCAUUCCUUCUCAGCUGCCACCUGGAUUUCCAGCAUCAUUUCCACCCUAUCCCCUUUCUCUCUGUGGCGAGAAACAAGGACAGCUUCUUCUUCUUCACAGUAAGAAGCAUCCUUAUAAAAUGAUAACUUGACAACCUGACGACUUUGACAAGACAAUCUGAGCAUCUGUAUCUACUUUUGGUAUUUCCUCAAAGAGGAACCAUGAAUCUAGAUUGGAAGUGUACUGCUGCAGCUGUGGAUGUCCUUGAAAAAGUACCUUGCUGCUUGGAUGCCGGGAUCCCGAACCUUAGUGAAUAGGCCAUCAAUCAAACAGAUUUUGCACUAGAGGCUGUUAGACGGCCACUCCUAGUCCAGUAACCAAGAUAAUGCAAAGAAGAGCUCUGACGCUCAGACAGUGAGAUCAGGUGUGUGAUUGUCAUUGUCUUCCCCCAGCCACUCCCAACCUUGAGGGCACAGUCUUAGAGUACUGUUGUACCACUCUCUCACAGCACUUUGUAGUUUCUCCUUUGUUAGUGUGUGUGUGUGUGUGUGUGUGUGUGUCUCGAGGGAGGCGGGGGCGGGGGCUCAUUCUUCUAUUGCUGAAUUCCUUGAUUGAACCCUACCAAUUUGCUGAGAAACAUGAUAUUUACAAAAAUGGGUCUGUGACACGCAUACAUAAAAUCAGCUGUGAUAAGGACGCAUGAGAAAAUCUAAAGACAGAGAGUUCUUCCCAGAAAGAAAAAUGUCAGUGUUCGAGUUCCUCCAUAGGAUAAAGUGGGUAUUAUAAGAUAUUCCAAAUACAACCACUGGCCCGUCUCUCUCUACAAAUUUUACCAAAAUGCAUAUGACUAAUAUUGAGUACCCAUCAGAAAUAAAUACAAAGAACAAUAUAUAAUUGGUGAAGGC
rnacentral:lncRNA from 1 species